CAGGGCCAUGGGUGUCGAAAACCCUAGCCGCCACAAGCCAAUCCCUUGCUAGCUUUCUCCCACAAUCCCCACGCAUGGCUCUCCCUAAUCCCCUUCCCUUGACUUCUCCUCUCCCACCAUGGCCACCAAAGAGGAGCGGCUAGAGGAUGGUCGGAGGCACUGCUUGUGCACAUAAGGAGGAGCACGAGGCGCAGCUACCGGUGAGGGCAUAGAGGAAGAGGAUGAGGUGAGGGGAGGAGUGGUGAAGAGAUGCUUGACGGAGGCAGAAGAGAGACCGCCUGCGGUGAGCUGCAUCUCCAAUCGACCUCCGUCGUCCAUCCCUGGAUUUACUUUGGGUCGUGCGGCGGCCGGCGGCCGGCCGGGAGGCCCGGGCUCUGCCUUGCCGCUCCACCCGACCCCUUAUCUGUGGCAGAUGGAGGGCUUCAACGGCGCUGGUUUGAGCUCUCUCUCUCUCCGGCUAAAUGUCAAGGUGGAUCUUGUGGUGAACAUGGUGGAGCUUGGCAGCCUGACUGCCAACGACCUGCUUGUCCGUGCUAGAGAGUAUGUGCAGCAGCUUGCAGAGGCAUAGAUGCCUUUGAUCUCAUCAUACAAAGAUGUGGAUAGGGAGAGGUGUGGUGCAUCUGAUGGUCGGAAAGGCCUAUUGCCACGGACUUGCAUCGAAGUUUUGUAGGAUUGUCUAAAACUAUUGAUCUACUGUCAUUGUUUGUUACCUGCAUCUGUUCGUUUUGCUAAAGAUUUAUGCUUGCUGUAGCUUUUGGCUCACAAGCCUCACAGGUUAGUGUCUUCUUCAUUUCUUCGUCUGAUAUUGUGUUCAAAGUGGCUUCAUAUAUUUCUUGAGAGUGGUGUCUUCAUUUCUUCGUCUGAUAUUGUGCUCAAAGUGGCUUCAUAUAUUUCUUGAGAGUAGUCAUCCUGAAGUUGAUUUACAUUUCCCGCAAGUAGCUCUGUUAUAUACACAUAAAUUUCAUAUGAGUUGAUAUAAAAUCUUUAUAUCUCAUUUGAUCUUUAUAAAAGCUCAUAAUGAAAUCUUGAAUUCAGCAUUCUUUAAAUAUAUGAGAUUGAGGUUAUAAAGGUUGAGCCAUAGAUAGAGAAACUAAUCCAAUUAUUGUUGAUGCCUCAGUUUCAGGUUUCUAAGAGUAUCGCCGUAGAUUAUGAGAGAUGGAUUCCUAAUAGCUUCUUUUUGAUUUACUAAAGGCAUGAACCACAUAUAAAGUUCAGAGAAAAUUUAAAGCUCAUUUGGAACGACUGAAAAUGUUUAAAGUUCAUUCAUACAUUUAUUUUCUCUUCAUAGUCCAUUAACAGGCUAACGGCCUUCGAUUUAUCUCGCUCCUGUUGCGGAAAUUAAUCGAGUAUGAAGCAAAUAGGAUGAUAUUUUUCUGUAGAGACCCCUGAUGUCUUCUUUCAUGUCCCGGACACUCCCAAGGAUAUUCAGGGUUCCCUAUAAAGAAUAUUAUUCGAUCUUAUGCUAAAAUCAUGGUCUUUCAAAGGCUGAGUACCAUCUUGAAUUAUUAGAAGAUAGCAAAGUUCGUGAGAAUUGCUCUUUAACGCAUCUACAUGUCGAUGUCUGGACCCAGUCCAAUGAUUUAUGAAAUAACAAAGAAAGUUGCUGACAAGCUUAAGGGCACAACAUUAUCUGCCAGUUGUUGUUUGGAUGAUUUGUUGCUGCUAGAGAGGGGGAUGGGAAGAGAAAGAAGAAAUGGUGAGGGAGGUUGAAAAGGAGCCAACAGAUGAACAUGGAUCUGCAAUAAUCAGAAACUACUUUGGUGGUGGAUGGAUGUUUGCAUCAGAUCUGAGGGUGCAAUGGUGGUCCUGAAGCAUUUCCAUGAGGUGUUUAGUGCAUAUAUGAAGAAUCAGGGGUACAAAUUGGGGACUUUCCAACAAUUAUGAAGAAGUGUGAUCUUAAACACCGACCAUGCGAUGAAAUCCGUAGAUGUUUCUGCAAGUUUUGCUUCAGCGAUGUUUGCCUCUUUGCCCCUUGCUUGAUUGGGCUACUUAACUGGGAAAUCGUCGGCUGCAUCUUACUUUCAGGUUUGACACUUUGGCGCUUGCUUGAUUCGGCUGCUCCUAGAAAAAGUUUCUGCAAGUUCUGUUUCGUUGAUGUUUGCCUCGAUGGGAAUGGAUCUACUUGUCGGGAUUAAUAAGCUUUGUGGAUGUAUUAGGUUGUGACUUGGUCUGGUCCUCGGUGUACUGAUUUAGCAAAUAGCUUGAAUCAGGCCAGUCACAAUACAGAUUGCUGCUCUUUUCCUUGACGGACAAAUUAGACUUAUCAUUUGCUGCUAUUGUUACAAAUCUUAUAGCUACAUGCAGGUAUGAGAACCAGGAUCAGAAGACUAUGGGAUGUAUUUUCCUUACUAAUGUUUGCCAGAGUUUCUCUGAAUAUGCAAUGUUCUGAUCCAGUUUCAUCCUAUUUUUGUAUGGUUAGCCACCCGCAAUAUUUUUGGCUUCUAUGAUGGUUCAGUUUUGUUCGUGCACCAGAUGAAGUUGCAAGUGUAAAAAGCCUUAUGUUGACAGUAGACAAUACCAUGUAGGAAUUCAUGCCAAUCUUAGGGUCCCUGUUUACUGUUAGUACCUCUUUCAUUUCUUCAGCAAUUUUUCUGUUCAGAGAGGCUUCAUAUGUUUGUUGAGUGGGAAUCCUUAAGUUGCUCUAGAAUUUCCAAAUAAAGUGGCUCUAAUUCAUAUCUACAUUUUUGUGUGAGUUCACAUUAAUAUUUGAAUCUCAUUUGGGUUUUCAAAUAGUAUUGCUUGAAAAUAUAUGUAUGGACAGAACAGUUAGAGCAACUCAUGGAAAUUUUAAACCUGAUCUUUUGAACCAAUGGUCGCUGCAUUCAAUUUAGUUCAUCUUCUGGUUGCAUCUCAGCAUCAGUUGUACUGCUAUGAUAGCACUUAGCACGAGCUGCUACCUGCUUGAGUUAACUUAUCAAAUUUAGUUCCUUUUUCAUUGCUCAUAUCCAGAUAUCUAAAACCCGAGCUCUCGAAUUGUGAGAGUUGGUUUCAUGACAACUUCUAUUUUAUUUACUGAACUCUGAAUCACAGAUCAUGAUAGAUGGUUCCCUAAUUUGUAUCUUAUUUUUUGAAAGUUUCUAGAGAAUAUUUACAGUGUAGUCAAACAAACAAAAUAUAUUUGAAGCUAAUUAAGAUUUCUUGAAACCUAACACACAGUUAAUUAUCUUGAUAAUAUACUUCGGUUCCGAAGUCCUAACUAUUCCUUCUCUGGGAAUAUUAGAAGGUCGAUGCGGAUCGGUAGUGAGAUCCAGGCUGCUCGAUUUUCUUCACGGACAUGGACAAUAUCCCUCUGGUAAUAUCAGGUCUUAUAGAACACCUCUAAUAUCAAUACGAGUGUUUUCUCCAUCACCCUAGCAAUUCGUACCCUUCCAUAAUAAUGGUUGUUGAUAAAAUGGUAAAACCUUUUGCAUGAUCAGGCUUAAUUUUAAGGAUUGAUACUCCAAUCAAUCUGGUUUAAUCUGGAUCUUAAAACAUUACCUUUUCAUUGAAUGCUCUUUAAGGCACUUAAAAUAAAUUUGUGUCCUCAUCCUCAUCCAAAAGAAAAUCUGAGCCUGAUAGAAAGGCAUUGACCAACAUAACCAGUUUAAGAUGCUCGGCCUAAAAUGCAUCUAUCAUGCAAACAAUAAUAAUCUAUUUUCGUUUUUAUGAGUGACAUAGAGCAUGGCUCAUGUGCCUUCAACUUUGCACCCCCUUGUGAUGUUUGACUUUGCUGCUCCUUUCCUCCAUGAAUCUAUGCAUGCUAAUUAUCUUUUAUCAACAUUUGUUAUUUUUAAUAUUCUGUAUCUUCCUUGCAUACAUUGUUGCAUCAUCGAUCAGUAUAUGAUAAUAGAUAUAAUUGUUCAAGAUUAUUUGUGUCAACUCUGCAGUGAGAUAUACCGUAUGAUUUAACUUUUAGUUGGACAAGAAGAGAUAGGAGGCAUGUCUAUGGGUGAAUUCCGAAGUACAUGCAUCUGGUGAGCCUGAUGGUAUGGAUGUAUAAGGAAGGGCUUUUUCGUAAAGGUCAUUGUUGUUAUGCUUUUCCAUUCUCAUGGACUAUGGUCACUUAUCACACAUUGAUUCCUAUGAUUAGCUCACAGAGAACUUUCUUUAGUUAGUCAUGUGUUUCGAGCUAAAGCUGCGACUUUAUUUAUCGGUUUAGGUGCCUUCGUAAUCCGUCCAUAUAUUUUUUCUUACAAUUUCAUAUAAAUGAACAUCUAUUUUCUAAUUUCAAAAUCCAUGCUCAAUGCACGCAACAUCAGUUGACAUGAUGAACGUUUGUAGUUCAACAUUAGGACUGAAAGCUAUGAAAGGCUACUUCAUUUGUUAAUCUGUUACGGCCAUUGCUUAGGCUCUUAUCCCAAUGAAUUUGAAUCAUUCUUUAUUAUCCUGUUGAUAUGGUGUUGUCUGAUAUAUAUAAUUUUUUGUUGUUCUUUUGUAUUUCUUCAGAAAAUAUGCAUUUAUAUUUGAAUUUGUGCAAUGUCCCUAAUCUCUUGAAGGUGUUAUAGUGGGCAUUCGGGUGAGCAUUGUGCAACUUAUCUGAAACUUAAGAUUGCUUCUGCAGUUAAUCUCCAUUAGGAGUGCCAGACGGGUUGACCUCCCGUUGACAAGGCUGUGUGUGUGCGCUCGAUCCGCGGUCUCUCUC